ensembl:lncRNA
CGGAGACCCUCAGGUGCAACUCCUCCGGUUGCGUAUCAAAUUACCUGUCCAAGAGCCAGACCGUCCUGGACCAGCUGAGCUUGGCUCUUCGCGGGGAGUUCCGCCUCAUCCUGACCCGCAAGUAUGCGUGUGACAUCCGUGUCAUCCGGAUGCUACGGGAGAGGACCCUCGGCAACAGCUCCACACGCCUGGCCAAACAGCUGCGGGAGAACCACGGCGAGGAGUGGCUGCAGCGGUUGGCCCGCUACAUGGAGCUGGCCAAUGACUUUGCCCGCAGGCCCAGUCUCUUCCCUGUGGUCUGUCAGAGGCCCCCCGAGCCUAUCGCUGUCCCGACCAACAGGUGGCUCCUGACGGUGUACGGGAAGGACUUGAUGAGCCGUAUGGGUCACAUCAAGGCCAGCAUCACCUCCACCUUUGGCUCCAUUUUAAAAAUGGAUUCCACAAAGAAGGAGAGUUGAUAGGCAUCGACUACCUGUACAAGCAGACGGGGAAGUGCAUGCAAGACAUGGAUCCUGAGGGGGAGGAGACGGAGCAGCUGCUGGAGGACCUGGGCGACGAGGCAGAGGAUGAGGGCUUCACAGACG